rnacentral:lncRNA from 1 species
CCGCGUACACUUCAGCAAGGCUUUCGGCGGCAAUGGCAAGGCAAUGGCUUCUACGGUAGAAGUCUACGGUAGCAGUUCUACCUGGCACUUCCCACGCUUCAUGAUAGGUACAUAUGCACGGGCUGGGAGAAAAGAAUGAGAAGCAGAACCAAAAUCUUACUUUGCCACCAAUGCAGCUGAUGAGGAGUGACAGAAAGGAAUACCUAGGAACUAAGCUGUGAGUGCCACCCAUCUGCAUCGGUGUCUCCCAGUCAUCCAGCAACUAAAGAUGGGGAAAAGUCUCAUCAAGGACGCCGCCACCGCUGUGAUUUCGGGUUGGGGUCUACCUAUCAUCCAUCAACUAAAGACGGUGAAAAGUUACAUCAUGGACGCCGCCAACGCUGUGGCUCUGAAACUGUGUGGCUAUGUUGCCACCGCUGUGGCUAUGAAACUGUGUGGCUAUUUCUGUGGCUAUGAAACUGAUAAGUUGUGCAGUCUGAAAAGACACAUCAGGAUUCAUACAGGCGAGCGGCCAUUUCAGUGCCACAUGUGUUCUCAGAGAUUCUCACUAAACUCAACAUUGAAGAAACACGUGCGCACCCACACGGGUGAUCGGCCAUUUAAAUGCCACCUAUGCCUCGAGACAUUUGUGUGGAAAAACCGCCUUGACAGACAUGCACCAGCAUAAACGCA